CUAUUAGUACUAUGAACUUUCUUCUUAGUAAUGCCUUCAAAGUGUCCCAUAAGUUUGGGAAAAGAUAAACAAUCAAUUGGAAGAAAUCAACAAACUCCUUAAGGAAAACUGAGAAAAAGCAAUCAAACAUGGGAAGGAAAUGACUCAAGGCAUAAAACCAGAAAUAGACGCAAUAAAGAAUACAUAAACUGAAGGAAUUCAGAAAAUGGAAAUCUGGGUAAACGAGCAGGAACUACAGAUACAAGAACAGACAACAGAAUACAAGUGUUGGAAAAUCA